GAUGAACGCUGGCGGCGUGCCUAAUACAUGCAAGUCGAGCGAACAGAUACGUAGCUUGCUCCUUUGACGUUAGCGGCGGACGGGUGAGUAACACGUGGGUAACAUACUUCUAAGACUGGGAUAACUUCGGGAAACCGGAGCUAAUACCGGAUAACAUUUGGAACCGCAUGGUUCUAGAGUGAAAGAUGGUUUUUCUUUCACUGAUAGAUGGACCCGCGCCGUAUUAGCUAGUUGGUAAGGUAAUGGCUUACCAAGGCGGCGAUGAGUAGCCGACCUGAGAGGGUGGUCGGCCACACUGGAGCUGAGGCACGGCCCAGACGCCUACGGGAGGCGGCAGUAGGGAAUCUUAUGCCACGGGCGACGGCCUGCCGGAGCAACGCCGCGGGAGUGAUGAUGGGUUUCGGCUCGUAAAGCUCUGUUAUUAGGGGAGAACAAAUGUGUAAGUGACUGUGCACGUCUUGACGGUACCUAAUCAAAAAGCGACGGCUAACUACGUG
rnacentral:rRNA from 1 species